UUCUUAUGGUAAUAGUAAGUACUUAGUUAGGCAAUAUCUAACAGUAUCGCCACGCGUCGUAGCGUAGAUAUCAUACAUCAAUCAGCUAUUGGAGUUGUUUUUUUUUUGGUGGAGUAACUACUUAGAUACAAUUCAGGGGAAGACCGAGGGCAAUCAGUACACACUGGUAUGACGUGUCACCAAUCACCAUUGACUCUGGCGUCAAUCCUUGAGUGCCUUUUUCAACGGGUCACACAACUCCAGAUCCAGUCGGUGUGGCGGUCGAUCCUGGUGAAGGUAUCGGGCGUGGAGUCGUCGCAGGAGCUGGAGUAGUAGGACGCGAUGCCCACCAGAACCUCCCCGAUGAUGAUGAUAAUUCGGGUUGCAGACCAAGAGCUAAGUUACUUUAGCUUAGCUGACGCGGUUUCCAUAGUCGUGUGCAAAUGUAAACUAUAAAAACACUGGAAAACUGCGUCAGUUACGCGAGCCAAGCUAACCUUGCUAGGAGUACACUCGUAUGACGCUGACUCGUACGAGUGUACUCGGACGUGACUCGGUCCGAGCUGUCUCGUAACGUGUCAACCCGGCUUAAGCCGGGUUGACACGAUAAGAGUCAGUUCGGACCGAGUGGACUCGGAUUACUACUCGGACGCUACUCGUAUCGUGUAAACAUGUAAUCCGAGCGCACUCGUACGAAUGUACUAUGACAGAGCGGACUAGGACGCUGCUCUAUUUUUUCUAUCACUCGGAUCUGAGCUCGGACAAUUUUAAUUAAAAAUAAUGGCGGCGUCAAGGAAAAAGUGGUCGGAACGUGAUACUGUCAGGUUCGUGGAACUGUAUGAAGAAGAAGAAGUGCUGUGGAACGUGAGACUUAAAGAGUAUAAAAUCAAAGAUGCCCGAAAUGCCGUUAUUGAGCGCAUUAUAUUGUUCAAUUCUUUUAUUAGUAUAUCUGAAACAACUGUGAUACCAUGCAAUAGCAGAUCAGUCUGUUCCAUGUUGAGUAGAUCAGUGUUUUCCGAGAGUUGACACAAAAUUGGUGCAAAAUUGAAUGAGCUUUGAUAAGAGUACACUAUGAACGUGUAAACCACUAUAGGAGUACACUCGUAUGACGCUGACUCGUACGAGUGUACUCGGACGUGACUCGGUCCGAGCUGUCUCGUAACGUGUCAACCCGGCUUUAUUAAGCCGGGUUUUCACAGUAUGAGUUGGCUCGGACCGAGUGGACUCGUACGAGUUAGGUCGUAUAGGAGUACACUCGUAUAGUAGAAGCCGGGUUGACACGUUACGAGACAGCUCGGACCGAGUCACGUCCGAGUACACUCGUACGAGUCAGCGUCAUACGAGUGUACUCCUAUAGUGGUUUACACGUUCAUAGUGUACUCUUAUCAAAGCUCAUUCAAUUUUGCACCAAUUUUGUGUCAACUCUCGGAAAACACUGAUCUGCUCAACAUGGAACAGACUGAUCUGCUAUUGCAUGGUAUCACAGUUGUUUCAGAUAUACUAAUAAAAGAAUUGAACAAUAUAAUGCGCUCAAUAACGGCAUUUCGGGCAUCUUUGAUUUUAUACUCUUUAAGUCUCACGUUCCACAGCACUUCUUCUUCUUCAUACAGUUCCACGAACCUGACAGUAUCACGUUCCGACCACUUUUUCCUUGACGCCGCCAUUAUUUUUAAUUAAAAUUGUCCGAGCUCAGAUCCGAGUGAUA